AACUUUGUCAUGAUUAAUUUAUAGCUAAGGCCAAGCUUUAGUAUGGUGAUUAAUGUAAAUUAGGAUAAAAGAUUUAAUCCACCUAGAUUUAACCCAGCAAGAAACCUUAAACAAUAUUAGAAAUAAUAAUUUAAUUAGCGUCUAUAGGUUCGACUAACUAGGUGCCAGCAGUCGCGGUCACACCUGGGAAUCAAGCUAUAAACUUUAGGCCGGCUUCAAUACGAAUUUUCAUAAUUAGGUAAAAUUUUUAUGAUUUUUAAGUUUAAGAAAAAGAAAGCCUAAACUCUAGCAAUAAACCAGGAUUAGAUGCCCUGCUAUACAGAGCCAAAAUUGAAUGCUUAAGCACUAAGACUUUAUAGUUAAAACUUAAAUGACAUGGCGGCAGCUUCAAAUUUCAAGGGAACUUACCAGGUAAAUGAUAAUCCACAAGAAACCCUACUUCUUCUAAAAAGUUUGUAUAUCACCGUCUUCAGAGCCCGCCUGAGAUGGACUCAAAAUGUUUAAUUUGACAAAAAGACAGGUCAACAUGCAACCAAUGAAGAAGCCAAUAAGGCGAGUUACAAUGAUUUUUAAUCUUGGAAUUUUUUUGAAAAUGAAAAAAGAAAACCGGACUUGAAAGUAGGGCUUAUUUAUGAAUAUGGUUUGAAUGUUCAAAAAGCUGUGCACAAAUCGCCCGUCGCUCUCGUUGGAAAAGGAGAUAAGUCGUAACACAGUAAGCGUACCGGAAGGUGCGCUU
rnacentral:ncRNA from 1 species